GUUGGUGAACCAGCGGAGGGAUCAUUACAGAGUUUUCUAAACUCCCAACCCUUGCGAACCAUACCCAUACUGUUCUCGUUGCUUCCGGCGGGGGACGGGUGGGGGGCUGCCCUCGCGCAGUCCCUCCCCUCCCGCGCCGGGGGCGGCGGGCCCUAUGAACCUUUACAUCUCAACCACAAGAAAACCGUCUGAGAAAAAAAAACAAAUAAUCAAAACUUUCAACAACGGAUCUCUUGGCUCUG
rnacentral:misc_RNA from 1 species